AUUGAACGCUGGCGGCAUGCUUUACACAUGCAAGUCGAACGGCAGCGCGGGCUUCGGCCUGGCGGCGAGUGGCGAACGGGUGAGUAAUACAUCGGAACGUGCCCAGUAGUGGGGGAUAGCUCGGCGAAAGCCGGAUUAAUACCGCAUACGACCUGAGGGUGAAAGCGGGGGAUCUUCGGACCUCGCGCUAUUGGAGCGGCCGAUGGCAGAUUAGCUAGUUGGUGGGGUAAAGGCCUACCAAGGCGACGAUCUGUAGCUGGUCUGAGAGGUCGACCAGCCACACUGGGACUGAGACACGGCCCAGACUCCUACGGGAGGCAGCAGUGGGGAAUUUUGGACAAUGGGCGAAAGCCUGAUCCAGCAAUGCCGCGUGUGUGAUGAAGGCCUUCGGGUUGUAAAGCACUUUUGGCGGGAACGAAAAGGACUGUGCCAAUACCACGGUUCGAUGACGGUACCCGCAGAAUAAGCACCGGCUAACUACGUG
rnacentral:rRNA from 1 species